GACGAACGCUGGCGGCGUGCCUAAUACAUGCAAGUCGAACGCAGUGGGGCCGGGUGAGUAACACGUGGGUAACCUCCCAUCAGAGGGGAUAACACUUGGAAACAGGUGCUAAACCGAUACUGAUGGAUGGACCCGCGGUGCAUUGGCUAGGUGGUGAGGCAUCGGCUCACCAAGGCCACGAUGCGUAGCCGGGCGGAGAGGGUGAUCAGCCCCACUGGAACUGAGACACGGCCCAGACUCCUACGGGAGGCAGCAGUAGGGAAUCUUCGGCAAUGGACGAAAGUCUGAUCGAGCAACGCCGCGUGUGUGAAGAAGGUUUUCGGAUCGUAAAACUCUUUAGUUUGAGAAGCGGUAUCUAACCAGUAAGCAACGGCUAACUACGUGCCAGCAGCCGCGGUAAUAC
rnacentral:rRNA from 1 species